rnacentral:rRNA from 1 species
UACGGAGGGGGCUAGCGUUGUUCGGAAUUACUGGGCGUAAAGCGCACGUAGGCGGACUUUCAAGUCAGGGGUGAAAUCCCGGAGCUCAACUUCGGAAUUGCCUUUGAUACUGUUGGUCUCGAGUCCGGAAGAGGUGGGUGGAAUUCCUAGUGUAGAGGUGAAAUUCGUAGAUAUUCGGAAGAACACCAGUGGCGAAGGCGACUUACUGGACGACUGUUGACGCUGAGGUGCGAAAGCGUGGGGAGCAAACAGG